GCUCUGAUUAUAGCUCGGUUGGUUUGAGCGUGGUGCUGAUAAUGCCAAGGUUGCAGGUUCGAAUCCCCGGGACA